AAUUCUUCCUUCUGAUGAGACACCAGUUAAUGCUGUAGCGGACAUAUUCCACCAGAGGCAUCAUAUUAUGGCUCUUCCCAAAUACAACUUGCAGCAUGCCCAAAAUAGGAUGAAACAACAAGCUUAUAAGAAAAGAUCAUCAGGGGUUUUUGAAGCAGGAGAUUGGUUUUACCUGAAACUUCAACCUUAUAUCCAGUCUUCCCUUGCUAUUAGGAAGACUCUUAAGCUCACAGCUAAGUACUAUUGGCACUUUCAAAGUGUAGCAAAAGUGGGUACAGUAGCUUACAAGCUUAAGUUACCAACCUCUUGUAGCAUUCAUCUUGUUAUCCAUGUUUCUUUACUCAAAAAGAAACUUGGAAAUGAUGUUACUCUUACUUUAGAGCUUCCUGCAAUCAAGGAAGAUCAAACUAUAGAAGCAGCACCAAAACAAUUGCUCCAGACCACAACUAUUGUUAGAAAUGAGAUUCCAGUCGACCAAGGUUUCAUUAAGUGGCUCAAUCUUCCAAUGGACGAUGCUAAUUGGGAAGAUCAAGCCUUCAUCCAAGCUUAGUUUCCUGAUUUUAAACCUUAUUGGGACUAGAAGGUUCUCAUGGAGAGGUAUUGUUACAUAUAAGAAAGAGGCAAAGAGCGGAGCGGAGUUGACUGAAAUGUAGUUAAGUGCGUUGUGGUGUUUAUUGAUUGGGUAGCAGAGAAUAAAUAGUAGGAAUAAGUAGGAGAGAAUGAUGAGGGACUUGAGAGGUUAAGGAUUGGAGGGAAAAUUUGUUAGUAGCAAUUAUAGUUGUCUCUUGCAGUUAGGAGUGUAAAGGAGCAGUCAUACUUGUAUCAAGAUUCAUUCAAGAGGCAAUAACAGAAGCAUAUUCUUUUCUCUCUUUAUUUCUUCUCUCUAAUUCUUUCCUUCCUAACUUUUUUUUUUCCCUGAUUCUUCUCUCAUUUCUUCUCUUUCUUCUCCUAUUUCUUCUCUUCUCAAAAGCUGAAACUCUGUUUCCAGGGUUUCUACUAACACAAUGUUUCUUUUUCCUAGCUCAUGUUGCAACCUUUGUCGACGUUUGAUUUCAUAAUUAUCAAGAAGAAAUACAAAAAAUUUUGGACUUUUGGGUAAGAUAAAGGAAGGGGAGAGCUAAAGGUGUGCAAAUGAUCUCAAUAACCAAAAUACUAAAAUAUGAAAACAGAUCGAACCAAAUAUAUAGGCAAAACCAAACCAACUAGUACAAUUUUUGGCUACUCUCCGCCAACACAAUAAACACAAUACUGAUAGGCAGAAAACGAAAUUUAUGCACAUCUACAGAAACACAGAAUAUUAGAAAAGGACAAAUGAACAAAUCACAUUCCUCAAAUUAUGCCAGCUGAACUCAGAUGAUACAAGAUUUGGAUUUGAAAGCUCCAGUCUCUUUCUCCUCUGAAAUAUUGUAGUUUCCGACUUGGAAAUCUUCAAACAAUGUUAUUAAAAAUCCUACGGCAAGUAAGAGUUCGACAGAUACCAUUUCAAUAAUAAACAAUUAAGAGUUCCAGAACCGAGUUAAAAUUGAAGUCCGAAAGAGGAAGAAAUUUGGCUCACCAUUUCAAACCUUAAUUUUCAGAAAUGUAUUACAAUACAAACUCAAGGGAAUUAAGAAUCAGUUGUUUCUGGAUGUUGUCAGCAAUACAAAAUCAUAGUGGUUUCAUUGCAUGAACAAUGAGAUCUUUUGAUAGAUUCAAAAUCAGUUGCAUCUGCUACUUGCUUUGUCUAUAUAUACAAAUGAGAUCUAAGUUGCAUUCUUUUGAAAUUUGCCUUUUGCUGUUAUCCCCUACACUGAAGUGAGAAUGAGAUAACUCACCUGUGAGAGGCGAGCUAAGCGGUAAGCUUGAGGGUCGUCUGUGUAGAAGCGAGGUUGAGAUGAGAGAGAGCUUGAGGGAUAUAUUAGGGCGAUGAUCGAGGGCUUGUGGGUUGGGCAGCGUAAGACGAGAAGUUGGUGUGCAGUGUGCCAACCAGAUUGAAAUAGAUAAGAUAAUGAGAAUGGAGGGCGGCGGCUGAAGUAAAAGACUAAAAUUUG
rnacentral:misc_RNA from 1 species